rnacentral:antisense_RNA from 1 species
GGAGAUAUUUCUCAAAAGACUCCUCUGCGGGAGAGGAGAAUAGCUGUACUCUAAGCAGUUCGCAGGGAGCAUCUUUCAGCAGCUGAAACAGCUUUGCGGCCUUGCUGUAAUGAAGAUCUGCCAGCACCCGGUGUUGUUUCCUAAGGUGUUCAUCACCAACCUAGAACCAAACCAAAACAAGCAACAAAUCCUUCACGAGAAAGAAAGAAAACAACUGUGUAAGCAGACAUCAGUGUAAACCUUAGCACUGUCUCUUGAUGAGAUAAGAGGAGGAUGGCAGUGACAGGAGUGUGGUGGCGAGCCAGUCACCUGCAGUCAACCACGGCUCAUUGCUCUCACCAUGCCUGUUACAUGAAGUUUCAGGCAUCCACUGGGGAUCCUGGAACGCAUCCUCCAAGGAUAAGUGGGGUCUACUGUACAACACUUAAGUAUAACCCUCUUCACUAUUAACCAAAUGAUAUUAAAAUAAGCAAAGAAAAA